UGCCCUGUAGCGCAAUGGAUAGCGCGUUGGCCUUCUAAUCCAAAGGUCGUGGGUUCGAAUCCCAUCUGAGUUG